CAGCCGCCACGGUAAUACAGAGGGUGCAAGCGUUAAUCGGAAUUACUGGGCGUAAAGCGCGCGUAGGUGGUUUGUUAAGUUGGAUGUGAAAUCCCCGGGCUCAACCUGGGAACUGCAUCCAAAACUGGCAAGCUAGAGUAUGGUAGAGGGUGGUGGAAUUUCCUGUGUAGCGGUGAAAUGCGUAGAUAUAGGAAGGAACACCAGUGGCGAAGGCGACCACCUGGACUGAUACUGACACUGAGGUGCGAAAGCGUGGGGAGCAAACAGGAUUAGAUACCCGCGUAGUCCCUGUCUCUUAUAU
rnacentral:rRNA from 1 species